GGCACUAUAGCCAAGUGGUUAAGGCGACAGAUUAGAAUGGCAUAAAGCUGAUCAUCUGUUACUCUCUGAGUGCGCAGGUUCAAAUCCUGCUGGUGUCG
rnacentral:tRNA from 1 species